rnacentral:misc_RNA from 1 species
ACAUUAAAACUGAAAAAUCCAACUUUGCAUCAUAUGGAUAUGGAAUAUUAGCAGCAAAGAGAUGCUUAGGCAUAGGAUGUUCAGAUUCAAUUUUCCAAAGAGUUCAAGUUGCCAGAGAUGGAAUUUGGUAAUAACAUCAUGUUGAUUGGAUUAUCUUAAAGAACAUGUCUUGUUCCUUUUCAAAGAGGAACCAUUUGCUGCUACUCCUUGGUUCCGUGUUUGCAACUUUGUUGCAUUGGAGUAAGUAUUUAGGAGUGCUUCAUAUGUCAAAGAGGGAAUGGAUAUGAAAUGGCUAAUAUUGUAUUUCAGCCCUUAUCUGGAAGAUUGACGAGUGGUUUGUUUCCAGUUAAGAUUGAAACUUACUACAAUCUCCAAUCUUAUUGAGUGGAAUUUCUUUGUCCCCUAUUCUUCAAUUUGAUGUCAAUGACUUGUUGCCUAUUUCUUACC